CCCGCGGGCUCGCGACGCCUGGGCCUGCCUCCCGGAUCCGGGCGCUUCGGGGCUGGCGGCGACGGAGCCCGCAGCUCGGGCGAGCCAACCUGGGCCCAACCCUCCCAGUCUGAAACAGAUGCCUUUUAGGAAAAACAGUUUUCAGAUAUGUGCAAAGAAACAAUAGCAGCUGACAGCACGUGUUGGACUACCAGAGGUCUAGAUGGAAGUUUCUGGAUCAUCUGCCGCAGAACUCUGCUUAACAGACCCAGACGCUGAGAGCCAAAACCGGGAAUGCUAUGGAGCCAGGCGGGAGGAAGGUAAACAGCAAAGGGCCCGUCAGGUAGACCUGAGGCUGCAGACGGCGAA